rnacentral:rRNA from 1 species
CGUAGGGUGCGAGCGUUAAUCGGAAUUACUGGGCGUAAAGCGUGCGCAGGCGGCUUUGUAAGACAGAUGUGAAAUCCCCGGGCUCAACCUGGGACCUGCAUUUGUGACUGCAAGGCCAGAGUACGGUAGAGGGGGAUGGAAUUCCGCGUGUAGCAGUGAAAUGCGUAGAUAUGCGGAGGAACACCGACGGCGAAGGCAAUCCCCUGGACCUGUACUGACGCUCAUGCACGAAAGCGUGGGGAGCAAACAGGAUUAGAUACCCUGGUAGUCCACGCCCUAAACGAUGUCAACUGGUUGUUGGGUCUUUACUGACUCAGUAACGAAGCUAACGCGUGAAGUUGACCGCCUGGGGAGUACGGCCGCAAGGUUG